rnacentral:lncRNA from 1 species
AUGUGGAGCCCAGGGGAGGAUUCGCCCCUCCUGGAGACUUUAAAGAGAGUUAGGAGCCUACCUGAGGGAGGCAAGCACAGGAACGGCGGAGGACGACGGAGACGAAGGCCUCCCAGGGGGCGCGGCCCCGGGAGAAUGGGCCUGACCGUGGCCUGGGCCCGGCAGAGUCGGGGAAAGGGAGCCCAUCCCCGAGAGAAGGCGUGGGAGAUGGAAAUGACCGCAGAGAUUCCCUGCCGCCUACUUUCACUGAGGAAGUGCCAGCUUCAGACUCCGCCCCCCCAAGGAGGAGGGGGGAUGGGGAAGGUGGAGGGCGCAUGCGCCGGGGGCUGCCUUCGCUGUCCCCUCCUUCCCACCCUGCGUCCGGGUUUUCGCAGGCAUCAGGACCACCCGCUGGCCUCUAGCCGGUGGGGGCUACCGUGGAGCGGCCGGAAGGAGUUAACCGUGGAACUUGCAGAAACUGUUGAGAGCAGCCAGUGAAAUGGUACGGAGAGAGCAGAGCCCAGGACGCCCAGGACGGAGCAUCCCCGAGGCUGAGGUGGAGUGAUGGAGAGAGCCCUGUCAGAGCCCCUGAGGGCUGAAGAGGUGGAGGAUCAGGAAAAGGCCACUUCAUUCUGCGAAGCCUCCUGUUUCUCCCUCUUUUCUUGAACCCCCUUUUCUCCUGCCUCCCUGUUGGGAGCGAUGCUGGAGGAGAGAAGAUUCAAGUGCUGCCCACCCCCUCGGCUCCUUUUGGCUGGACAGACUCCUCUUUGCACGCUCCGUCCUCCCUCGUCCUCCCUCCUCUUCCCCAUCUUUUGCAUUCUUCCUCCGAGACCAUCCGAACCCCACAGAAUCCCUCCCAGACCCGCUGCCUGUCCAGAGCUCUGGAAGGCCUCUCGGGAUGGCAGGUCCCAGGCGGUGAAGGAGCCCAGCUUUGUUUCGGCCCUCGUUUUGGUCCUUUGCUGCUUCUCUCGUCUCCUGCGUUUCUGGCCACAUUUUCUACUCCGCGGAUCGCUUUCAUUAAGAAUGCUUAGGAAGUCCUCUACUGCCUUAAAAUCCUUUUUUUCCACCUCAAGGAUGACACUCAGUUUUUUUUAAAAUCCUAAACACAGUCAAUACUGUGUGCUAGUUCCAAGGCAAAAGAGGGGUCAGGACUAGCAGUAGGGGUCAAGGGACUUGCCCAGGGUCACCCAGCUGGGAAGGUCUGAGGCCAGACUUGAACCCAUGACCUCCAUCUGUGGGCCUGGCUCUCCAUCCACUGAGCCCACCAGCUGCCCCCUAUACUCAGUUCUGCUAGGUAGGUGAUUCUUGCUGAUAAGCCUGUAUUCUUUGCCUCGCAGAGUAUCCUAUUCCAAGCCCUUCCUGUCUUCUUGUUUUUCUAAGCCCUCGUCUUCCAUCUUAAAAAUCAAUCCAACGUCUUGGUCCCAAGGCAGAAGAGCAGUAAAGGGAGUCUCAGUUGAAUGGUGACGGCCUCCGAGACUUCCAAAGAGAGUGAGCGAGG